GCCAGAUCCCAGAGAUUCCCAGGAGUAGUCACAUCACGGCCGCUGAGCCAGCGCCAAUGCCCAAGAUGGCCACCAGUUCAGCACCACAGCACAAGAUGGCCGCCAGCCCAGUGCCAUUGCACAGGAUGGCCGCCAGCUCAGCGUGCCCAGCGCCACAGCACAAGAUGGCCGCCAGCCCAGCACCACAGCACAAGAUGGUUGACUCAACGCCUGAGUCUUCCGUCAAGUAGCCACCGGCACGCCAUCAUAGAGGCCGCAGGAGGAGGAGACAGGCGUCAGCCGUUCCUCAAAGCCCGGAGGACGUUCCCGAGCAGGCCGCUGCCGUCCAGGAGGACGUUCCCGAGCAGGCCGCUACGGUCCAGGAGGACGUUCCCGAGCAGGCCGCUGUCGUCCAGGUGGACGUGCCCAAGGUUCCCGAGGCGGUGCCUGAUGCCGAAGCGGUGCCCGAUGUUGUUCGCGAUGCCGAGGCGGUGCCCGAUGCGGUUCCGGAGGCCGAGGCGGUGCCCAAGAUGGUUCCGGAGGCCGAGGCGGUGCCCAAUGCUGUUCCGGAGGUCGAGGCGGUGCCCGAUGCGCAGGCCGAGGCGAUACCCGUGUCCAAGGCCGUUCCCGAGGCGGUGCCCUUGUCCUAGACCGUUCCCGAGGCGGUGUCCAAUGCCGUGACCUGGCCAUCGCCACAGUCUGCUCCUCACUGGCUCCCCGAAUGGCAGGUUCCGUUCGGGCCACUCAAAUGGCGAAUUCCUCCCUGGCCGUCUGCACAACGAGAAUGGACUGAUCCACCGUGGCCACCUGAACUGCCUGGCCCCUCGUGGUCCCCUGAACUUUCGAGUCCACCGUGGCCACCUGAACUGCCUGGUCCCUCAUGGUCCCCUGAACUUUCGUGUCCACCAUGGCCCCCUGAUCUGACCGAGCCACCUGGGCUGCCAGGGGAGCCAUCGCUGCCGGUCCCAGUUCCCCUACACGGGCCUGGCCCGCCAUCCCUCCCCCUGUUCUGCCUCCACCAGUCCACCUCCCUCCUGGUCUCUUUGUUUUGUGUUUGUUUUGUUCUGAGGAGCAUCUGGAAGCUGCUCCUUAGAGGGGGGGUACUGUCACGGUGUCUGGUUUGUGUAUCCCUGGGUGUCCACUAGAGGUCUCACUUCCCCUUAGCGUCACCCCACCUCAGAACUACAUUUCCCUUAGUCUUGUUUGUUUCAUCACUGCUCAUUGCACUCAGCUGUCCCUGGUCAUUAAUCAUUGCACUCAGCCAAUUCCCUGUUAGUAUUGUAAUCACCUGUCUAUAAAUACCUGGUUUGUUUCUGUCUUUGUUACGGAGUCCUUGUUUAAUGUCACCCUGGUUUUGUGUUUCCUUGCUUUGUUCGUGUUUCUUGUUUUGGACUGAUUACCUGGAUUUUGACCGUUGCCUGGCUGGAUUAUGAGUUUUGGAUUAUCCCAAUAAAACACUGCAAAUGGAUCUACCUGUCUGUGUGCGUUUCGUGACACAGUAGGUAAACUUUUAUAUAUAGUAUAUUUAUAGUCAAAAUCUGUCACUAGGUUAGUUGUGUAUAGGUUUAUACUGUUUUUCUUCAUU
ensembl:lncRNA